CAAUAGCGUAUAUUUAAGUUGUUGCAGUUAAAAAGCUCGUAGUCGGAUUUUGGCUGAGAACGAACGGUCCGCCGUUAGGUGUGCACUGUUUGGUCUCAGCUUCCUGGUGAGGAGGUGUGCUUCACGGCCACUUAGUCACCGUGGUUACUUUGAAAAAAUUAGAGUGUUCAAAGCGGGCUUACGCUUGAAUAUAUUAGCAUGGAAUAACACCAUAGGACUCCUGUCCUAUUUCGUUGGUCCCGGGACGGGAGUAAUGAUUAAGAGGAACAGUUGGGGGCAUUCGUAUUUCAUUGUCAGAGGUGAAAUUCUUGGAUUUAUGAAAGACGAACUUCUGCGAAAGCAUUUGCCAAGGAUGUUUUCAUUGA
rnacentral:rRNA from 1 species